GACGAACCGUGCGAACGUUAUUCGGAAUCACUGGGCUUAAAGCGCGUGUAGGCGGGACGGCACGUCGGUCGCUGAAAGCCCCCGGCUCAACCGGGAACGGGCGCCGAUACGACCGCCCUGGAGGGACGUAGGGGGACCUGGAACUUCCGGUGGAGCGGUGAAAUGCGUUGAGAUCGGAAGGAACGCCCGUGGCGAAAGCGAGGUCCUGGACGUUUCUGACGCUGAGACGCGAAGCCAGGGGAGCGAACGG
rnacentral:rRNA from 1 species